rnacentral:rRNA from 1 species
GUGCCAGCCGCCGCGGUAAUACGUAGGGUGCGAGCGUUAAUCGGAAUUACUGGGCGUAAAGCGUGCGCAGGCGGUUGUGUAAGACAGGUGUGAAAUCCCAGGGCUUAACCUUGGAAUUGCAUUUGUGACUGCACGGCUAGAGUACGGUAGAGGGGGGUGGAAUUCCGCGUGUAGCAGUGAAAUGCGUAGAUAUGCGGAGGAACACCGAUGGCGAAGGCAGCUUCCUGGACCUGUACCGACGCUCAUGCACGAAAGCAUGGGGAGCAAACAGGAUUAGAUACCCUGGUAGUCCAUGCCCUAAACGAUGUCAACUGGUUGUUGGGAAUUAACUUUCUCAGUAACGAAGCUAACGCGUGAAGUUGACCGCCUGGGGAGUACGGCCGCAAGGUUAAAACUUAAAUGAAUUGGCGG